CACAGAGAGGUUGGGUGUGGGAAAGCUGGGUUAGUGAGAGCAGAUGUGGGAAGGGAGUGAUUGUUCACAGGCCUGCGUGUGUGUGUGUGUGUGUGUGUGUGUGUGUGUGUGUGUGUGUGUGUGAGGGGGGGGUGCACACAUGCACUAGGCUGGCCAAUCGGCACAUGGCCUGGAUGGUGGCAGAGGCACCUGGGACCAGCGCUUCUCCAGGAGUCUGUCCUCACAACACUUCUAAAUCUCGGAGCUCUUCCCCUAGACCGUGAGCCCUGUUGAGGUCUCAGCACAGGGAAAGUGGAAGAAGACAAGGAAUAAAUGAAAGUGAUUGCCAGGACCACAGAAGAGAAUCCACCGAAUUCCUCAGCUAACAUUCCAUUGGUGACAACCGAAGAGUGUACUGUGCACACACAGGACUGCAUGCUGGCCACUGUGCAAGGCAUGCAGCCUACAGGAACCAUGAGAGACAGGCUGGGCACUGGAGGAAACCCUAGUAAUGGAAAUUGCAGCAUGUCAGAACAGCUUAAUAUGAUUCAAACAGCCCUGGAAUCGACUGACACCACCUUCCUUCUCAGCCUUCCGUCUGUCCCUCCACCUGCCACCCCAAACUCCCCUGCUCCUUGCUUCACACACACAAAACAUCAGUUUUCCCACUAGGCUCGACCCAGCUCCCUGUCACAGACAAUGACAGAACCCUGUCAGGUUGCCUUCCUGAGGUGGAGUGACAGGAUUGGGGACAGCUAUUUCAAAUGAGGUCAGAUCCCAAGUCUAUCCAGGUCAGGAUGGCCUGGGAUGAGGACUGAGAUGAGACCCCAGCAAGACUUCAGAGUUGGGUGUGUCAGCACACGACCUGGAAUCCCAGGACUCGGAAGGCAGAGACAGGAGGGCUGAGUGAGGAUUGCUAUAAUCCAAGGCUAGCCUGGUCUACAAAAGGAGUUCCAGGCCAACUAGGGCUAUAUAGAAAGACCCCAACUCAACCAAGGGAAACAAAAGAGAUUUCAGCUAGGCACAGGCCAGGGAGGUGUGAGACUGCACCUCGUGCCUGCAGCCGCACCUCCAGGUGCCAUUGAAACAGAGGAGGACUGCCCUGGGCCUUCAGGAUUCUCAGAGGCCAGAGGGGAGUUCAGAGUGUGGUCAAGGCUAAGGCAACAUGAAUCCAUAGUCAACAGUCUUAGGACUUAAGGACAAUUAAAAAAAUCUAUUGCUGAGGGCACAAAGAGAUGGCUCUUAACACUGCACCCUUGGCUCUAAAAGUUUACGUGUAUUUAUUUUGUUUGCACAUGUGUGUGACUGCAUGAGCCAUUUCCACGUGUGAAGUUCAAAGGACAACUGUGAGGACUCAGUCUGGACCCACUGCUCGAGUGUGUGUGAGUGUGUGUGUGUGCACACUCAUGCGAGUGUGAUGUCUCAGGGAUGGAGUUUAGGCUGUGAAGCUUGGCAGAAGUGCCUGUACAGCUGAAGCUCACUGGCACACACUUGCCAUUUCUGGAGGGCAAGCUGGUUAAAAAAAAAAAAGGAAGGAAAUCAAAAGCCUUUACAUUUGAA
rnacentral:lncRNA from 1 species